rnacentral:snRNA from 1 species
AUCACUUCUCGGCCUUUUGGCUAAGAUCAAGUGUAGUAUCUGUUCUUCUCAGUUUAAGACCCUAUCUAUUUAAAGAAUCAAAAUCCUUUAUGGGAUCUUCCUUCCCUCAACUUUGGCUAAAGUAUAAUUAGUUUAAUUAUGAUUAAACUAAUAUGCAAUUAGACAUACU